CGGCAGGCCUAACACAUGCAAGUCGAGGGGCUUUGAGGAGUAGCAAUACUCUGUCGGCGACCGGCGCACGGGUGCGUAACGCGUAUGCGACCUACCUAUAACAGUUUGAUAACCCAGAGAAAUUUGGACUAAUACCCCAUAUUAUUAUUGAGCUGCAUGGUUUGAUAAUGAAAGACGCGAGUUGGUUAUAGAUGGGCAUGCGUGACAUUAGCUAGUUGGUAAGGUAACGGCUUACCAAGGCGACGAUGUCUAGGGGAACUGAGAGGUUAAUCCCCCACACUGGUACUGAGACACGGACCAGACUCCUACGGGAGGCAGCAGUGAGGAAUAUUGGUCAAUGGUCGGAAGACUGAACCAGCCAUGCCGCGUGAAGGAAGAAUGUCCUAUGGAUUGUAAACUUCUUUUGUAAGGGAGCAAUAAGUCUCAUGCGUGGGAUGAUGAGAGUACCUUACGAAUAAGCAUCGGCUAACUCCGUGCCAGCAGCCGCGGUAAUACGGAGGAUGCGAGCGUUAUCCGGAUUUAUUGGGUUUAAAGGGUGCGCAGGCGGUUUGUUAAGUCAGUGGUAAAAGCGUGUGGCUCAACCAUACCAAGCCAUUGAAACUGGCGAACUUGAGUGCAAACGAGGUAGGCGGAAUGUGAUGUGUAGCGGUGAAAUGCUUAGAUAUGUCACAGAACCCCGAUUGCGAAGGCAGCUUACCAGCAUGCAACUGACGCUCAGGCACGAAAGCGUGGGUAUCAAACAGGAUUAGAUACCCUGGUAGUCCACGCAGUAAACGAUGAAUACUAGCUGUUGGCGAUAUAAUGUCAGCGGUACAGCGAAAGUGUUAAGUAUUCCACCUGGGGAGUACGCCGGCAACGGUGAAACUCAAAGGAAUUGACGGGGGCCCGCACAAGCGGAGGAACAUGUGGUUUAAUUCGAUGAUACGCGAGGAACCUUACCCGGGCUUGAAAGUUAGCGACGGAUCGUGAAAGCGGUCUUCCCUUCGGGGCGCGAAACUAGGUGCUGCAUGGUUGUCGUCAGCUCGUGCCGUGAGGUGUCGGCUUAAGUGCCAUAACGAGCGCAACCCUUGUCGUUAGUUGCCAUCGGGUGAUGCCGGGAACUCUAGCGAGACUGCUACUGUAAGGUAGAGGAAGGUGGGGAUGACGUCAAAUCAGCACGGCCCUUACGUCCGGGGCGACACACGUGUUACAAUGGUGAGUACAGAGGGUUGCUACCUGGCGACAGGAUGCUAAUCUCCUAAAACUCAUCUCAGUUCGGAUCGGAGUCUGCAACUCGACUCCGUGAAGCUGGAUUCGCUAGUAAUCGCGCAUCAGCCAUGGCGCGGUGAAUACGUUCCCGGGCCU
rnacentral:rRNA from 1 species